UAUAUGCAUAGUCGGUAGAGCGCAAGACUCUUAUUCCAUCUCUGGAUCUGAGCUAAUCUUGAGGUUGCGGGUUCGACCCCCGCAUCGGGCUCAA